rnacentral:misc_RNA from 1 species
GAUGAAGAACGCAGCGAAAUGCGAUAAGUAGUGUGAAUUGCAGAAUUCAGUGAAUCAUCGAAUCUUUGAACGCACAUUGCGCCCCUUGGUAUUCCAUGGGGCAUGCCUGUUCGAGCGUCAUUUGUACCCUCAAGCUUUGCUUGGUGUUGGGUGUUUGUCCCGCGUUCUUUUGCGCAAGACUCGCCUUAAAUCAAUUGGCAGCCGGCAUGUUAGCCUGGAGCGCAGCACAUUUUGCGCCCCUUGCUUGCAUGUGUUGGCCCCCAUCAAGGCCAUAUAUUUGCUCUUGACCUCGGAUCAGGUAGGGAUACCCGCUGAACUUAAGCAUAUCAAAAGCGAGGA